rnacentral:ncRNA from 1 species
GUGCAGUGAGAAAGGAGAGAAGAUUGGCAUCUCCCCUGCGCAAGGACGGAACUUAUUAUCGGGUCUUGACCCGAAAAAAGGCAAAAUUGAUACGUUUUUUU